AUACGAAGGGUGCAAGCGUUACUCGGAAUUACUGGGCGUAAAGCGUGCGUAGGUGGUUGUUUAAGUCUGUCGUGAAAGCCCUGGGCUCAACCUGGGAAUGGCGAUGGAAACUGGGCGACUAGAGUGUGGCAGAGGGUAGUGGAAUUCCUGGUGUAGCAGUGAAAUGCGUAGAGAACAGGAGGAACAUCCGUGGCGAAGGCGGAUGGCCGGGACAACACUGACAAUUGGGCACGAAAGGGUGGGGAGCAAACAGGAUUAGGUUCCCUGGUAGUCCCCGCCCGAAACGAUGCGAACUGGAUGUUGGGGGCAAUUUGGCACGCAGUAUCGAAGCUAACGCGUUAAGUUCGCCGCCUGGGGAGUACGGUCGCAAGACUGAAACUCAAAGGAAUUGACGGGG
rnacentral:rRNA from 1 species